GGUAGCCUUUGGGGCAGGGUGUGAUUCCCUACCGGCGGUUAUAGUCCGCGAGCUUCUUUGUGAGCAUGAUCCGGUGUGAUUCCGGUACCGACAGUAUAGUCUGGAUGAGAAAAGGCGGCU
rfam:Phascolarctobacterium sp. CAG:207 genomic scaffold, scf93